ACUUUCCGCUCUAGUCGUAGAAUUCUCAAAGCACGAUUGUUGUGUGACGUUAUGCGAUUUCACCGCGACUUCAGUGUCUUCUGCGUCGCACUUAAUAUGUCACCGAACAUUUCAGAUUAUUAGAUGCAACGUCGUAAUUCCACGUUAUUAGACUCAAUCGAGUGAAGAAUUGCGACAAAAAUUAUUUUUUCAUCUCUGGCCUAAAAACUAACUAUAAUAAAAAACUAGGGAAUUCAUUUGGAUGUUUUUAUACGCCAGUGCAACGGGAAUAAAAAACGGAAAGAAGACUGAGAGAAGACGGAAAACCGGAGGGAUGAGAAGAGCACAAUGAAAAAGAGAAGCGAAGCAAACAGGUAGAGAAGAAGUGGCGUAGCUUGAUUAGACCAAGAAUUACGGAAGCUCUUUGAGCACAGGGAGAUUAUGUAAGGCCGUUGUAGCACCGUAAAAACUGGGCGCAAUCGCGACGACUGGCGCCUCCUAAUUGGCGUGCCUAUGCCACGUUAUGGCGCGAUAAUAAUUGUUUCUUGACGUUUCGUAAUAGCGGCUUACGCUUUUUUCCUCUCCGUUUUCUCCUCGACUCUCCUCCUGCUUCUCCUCA